CCUACGGGUGGCAGCAGUGGGGAAUAUUGGGCAAUGGGCGCAAGCCUGACCCAGCAACGCCGCGUGAAGGAAGAAGGCUUUCGGGUUGUACACUUCUUUUCUCAGGGACGAAGAAAGUGACGGUACCUGAGGAAUAAGCCACGGCUAACUACGUGCCAGCAGCCGAGGUAAUACGUAGGUGGCAAGCGUUAGCCGGAUUUACUGUGUGUAAAGGGCGUGUAGGCGGGGAAGCAAGUCAGAUGUGAAAACCACGGGCUCAACCUGUGGCCUGCAUUUGAAACUGUUUUUCUUGAGUACUGGGGAGGCAGACGGAAUUCCUAGUGUAGCGGUGAAAUGCGUAGAUAUUAGGAGGAACACCAGUGGCGAAGGCGGUCUGCUGGACAGCAACUGACGCUGAGGCGCGAAAGCGUGGGGAGCAAACAGGAUUAGAGACCCGGGUAGUC
rnacentral:rRNA from 1 species